CUGCGCCGUGCGGCCGGGCCGGGCCAUGACGGGCGAGGCCGUGCGGGAGCUGCUGCAGCGGCUGCGGGAGCUGCAGAGCGAGCGGGUCGAGACGUACCGGCUCUUCGAGGAGGGCCACCGGGCGUACUUGAGCAGUGCCCCCCACUAUGACUUCCCGCGGUACCGGCAGCUGGUGCACGAGGUCACCGUGGCCUUCAGCGGCAUCUCCCGGGAGGUGCUGGCCAUCGCCGGGCGCCUGCGGGACCAGCUCGGCCGCCCCGAGCUGGCCCAGCACCUGGCCCGGCUCCAGGAGAGGGAGCAGGAGAAGCUGCAGCUGACGGCGCAGCUGCAGCUGGCCCGGCAGCAGGCACAGGACCAGCCCGAGGUGGACGCCCAUCAGCAGGAGGUGCAGGAGCUCAAGCACAAGCUAAUUAAAACCAUUGAGGCAAUCAGCGAAAUUCUCCAGGACCUUAAGUACGAUUCGGAAGAAGUUGAGUGAUGGGUGUCCCCGUGGGAACGGCUGGAGGGGCCGGCCUGGUGGAACGGGGGCCCCGCUCAUCCCCCACCCGCUCCCGGCGCACCUUGGCAAGCCACACGCGCCACUGGUCGUAGAGUUUGAUGCCGAGGUUGGAGCAGCCGUAGGCGUGUUUCUUCACCCACCCGAAAAACUGCUUCAGCUCCCGCCGCAGCGUCGUGUUCUGCUCCCCCCCUUUGGGGUCGCAGCCCCCCGCCACUCGCUCUGCGGGGACAAGGGGGGCGGUGGCACACGGGGGGACGCGCCUCGACCCCCCCAUCGCCGCCGUGCCGUGAAUGAGGAGAGGAACACGAGCAGGUUUGGGCUCCCAGCUGGGAAAGCCGAGCUCCAGUUCGGCUCCUUUGCAGGAGAUCCAGGUGCCGGGCAUGGAGCGGGGCAGGGCCCCCGCACAUCCCGCGGUGCGCUGGGAGGGGAGCGCGGCACCGGCGGCACCACCGAGCGCUGCCGGCCGCACUCACCGCUGCGUGGGGUGGAGGCGGCCGUGGGGUUGCUCCAGUCGCUCCAGAUCCCGGCUUUCUUGGAGCCGUAGAUGCUGAAGGGGUUACAGCGCACCUGGACGAAGUAGACGGUGCCGGGGCGCAGGCCGGCCAGGCGGCAGGAGGUCUGGUUGCCCACAUCAUCCACCACCUGCACAGGGAGGAGAUGGCAGCGCCCGCACCCGCGGCCACCCCGCGCUGUCCCCCGGCCGUGCCCACCCACCUUCCACUCGGAGCUGUCCUCCACCCGGUAUUGGAUCUGGUACUUGGCUUGGAAGAGGAAAUCCUUGAGGGCCGGCGGGGAGCUCCAGCGCACGCUCAGCUGGUCCUCCAGGUCGCCCACCCUGCUGACGUGCACGUCGGACGGCGGGUCCGUGGUGACUGCGGGGACAGGGCAGGGCUGGCCCAGGGGACAGCGGGGCAGCGCCGCGGGGCCGCGAGGGUUAAGGAGCCGCGGAUGUCGGAGCGACUCGGAGCAAACAGCCUAAUUCGAUUAGGAGCAAUUCUGCUCACAUAUCGCCCAUUUCCUGCUGCCCCCGCCCCAGCCCGGCGCGGCCGCUCCCCUCGCAAGGUCACCGGCACCGCACGGCGGUGACACCCGUGGCUCACCCACGUCCAGGAUGUCCAGCAUGACCACGUCGGACACGGCCACCCCCAGGCGGUUGGACGCCUCCACCCAGAUCUCGUAGGGCGUGAAGAGGGCCAGGUCCUUGGGGAUGUGGCAGGAGUACGUUCCGGCCGUGUGGUAUUCCUGGCAGGUGUUGUCCUGGCCGUACCACCUGCGGGCAGGUGAUGGAUGAGGUGCUGGCACCGCUCCCCCAUGCUCCUGUGGGUCACUUUUUGUUUUUUCCACACUGCCAGAAUUGGGGGACCGGCCCCGUGGUUCACUCGGGGAUUCCCAACUCAAGCAGGCCCACAGCAGCUUCUCCUCACCCUCCCCAGCUCCAUGAAGAAACUCAUCCCAGCAAAGCAGGGGCCCACCAGGAGGCAUCGAGCUGCCCCUUCCCCGUUUCCCAUUAAAUCCCGCUCCAAAGCUUUUAACAACAACGGGGUGAAGGUGAGCGCCCACCUGCGCUUGUACUUGAGGGUGUAGUUGGUGUGCAGGAAGGUCUCCCCUUCUGUCCCCGGCGCCCACUUGCAGGUCAGGUCCUUCAUGUUCUUGGACCAGCAAGUGAUGUUGACUGGUUUUUCUGGGGGUACUGGCAGAGACAAAAACCAAAGAACAAGAGGUUCCAGAGCUGGUUUUUUCCAGCCACGGAGACACAAACCCCAAAUCCAAGCUGCAUUCCCAGCUGAGCCUCUGUAUUCCUGGGAAUGCGUAGCGACCCAAAAAACAAACCCGAGCUGCAUUCCCCGUUCCGAUUCCAUAUUCCUGGGACAGAGCAUCGGCCUUAAAAUAGCCCGAGAUAAAAUCUUACGAUUAUUGGUUCGGACAAGCGCGUUUUAACCGAGGCUUUGCCGAAACAGCCUCUGAGCUGCGUGCAGGUCAGGGCUCUGCCACAGCAGCUCCUGGCGCGCUUUGGUGAGAACCAGCACGCUGAUUCCUCCCUGGGGAUCCCCAGCUUCUCUCCCGUGGGGGAGGCACAUCCCAGUGCUGGCCAGACCCCGGUACGGAGCAGCUGGACCCUGACACAGCGCUGCACCUUGGCACAGAGUGGCUGGACCCCAGCACAGUGACCAGACCCUGACACAGAGUGACCACACCCCAGCACAGUGACCAGACCCUGGUACAGAGAGG